CGGGUGAUUUGCCACACGAACUGGCCACUCCCCUGUUUGACGGACGCGGUCAUUCUAAUCAACGCUGCACGCCGUUGCAGGCCACGUAUACCUUGCUAACUUGUAUUGGACGUCUCAAUAGGAGAACAAAGGCUCGUACUCAACCGUCAUCCAACCUUGCACGCGCCUUCUCCCGCUGCUGCGAGCUGCGCUGAGCCCCUCUCAGCACUGCUUCUUUGGGCCUCUUCGGCAAGCCUUUUACCAAACUGGUUGCUGACAAGUAUACCAAGCCCUCCUCUGUGAGCAGGCAUGAGUGUAAAGAGCACAGAGGCGGUUCCCACCAAGGGCGGCGGCACUGCCCUCUCACCUGAGGCGGAGCUCAGAAUUCGCACUCUGCGCUACGGCUCGCUAGCCAUUCUCGGUGGCUAUGUGGUGGCCACCUUUUACAAAAUGGGUCUCGUCGCCCGCAUCUUGCCGGCCGCCCUUAACCAUUCCUUGGAGUCUGCCGUAGAGGCCAUCAAGAGCCGAACGCAGCCGGUGGGCGAUGCGAAGCGCUUUGCCUUGGCCCGCUCUCACUUGACGGCAACGUACAGUCUCGCCGCGUCUGGUAUGCUUGCAUUGGCGAGUGGUGUCGCUACCUUCCGCUGCGUACCACGCGUUCCGAUUGCCAUACCCACUACCACAGCCGUGGUGCCGGCGGUACUGCUGCUCGGGAUCCCAAAGCGACUGAUGCUCCGUGGGUGCCGACUUCUAUGUUUCUUCACGUCGCUGGUAUCUGUGGGGUACGCACUGGGGCCUAUCGGUUGGGUUGCGCAAGAUACCCUCAUCGUUUUCGUGCUGCUUACGGGCUGCACCAUGACGGGCCUUUGCGUCCCGCUGUACCUCACGCGCGGCAUGAUCAGUUAUGUGGUGAGCGCGCAGGUGCUCUCAUCCGCCUUGUCCGUCGCCCUCGUCACGGCACCGAAGCAGUCUAAGGACAACUCGGCAUUCAAAGCGCUCAAGGAGCAGGCGGGGGUGAAGAUUAUACUGAAUGGCGACAUCAACGUGCUCUUCACGAUGCAGCUCAUGUCCAACGUGGGUGUUUGUGCGUUUCACACGCUACCGAGCAUUUAUCACUGCGUGGCUUGGCAGGGAUGCGAGGCAGACCUGCAAGACUCGAUCGACCCGGUGAGGGAGGCGUUCGGGAUUUGCGCUGGCACGACCUAUGUGAUCUACCGCUGCGUCCGUUGGGCCUGUCGCCUCCUUAUCAGGCGAGUCCUGGCAGACAGCAGUAGUAACCCGCAUGGUGGGCAUGGGCAGAACACCUGGCUGGCGCUUUCGAAUCACUCGCUGGACGUGAACCGUGCGAGCGGUGUCGUGUCGAGUGUGGUCAUGGGUCUCUGGUACGUGCGCGCCGUGUCACUGCUGCAGAAGGGCGACACGGAAACGUUACUAAAUCAGCUGCGCUCCGUCUGCGCGCGUAUCUCGCCGAUGAGCCUGCUGCUCGGUAGCUCCGCCGUGCGCUGCUGAAUGAGCGACCGCCUUUCACCCGUCUUUUCGGCGCGCCAUGGCGGAGCCGAUGACGUGGACGGCAGGGGAGAUGAACUCUCAUUAGCAACAACCGCAGCAGAGCGAAGACAACGAGGAGGGAGAAAGAGAGCUGCACGUAUCCCGUGUGCUGUGUGUCGCCGCGCCAGCGUGGCAACUGUCGUCUCUCUAGUCUCACCCCGCUGCGUGUGAGAAUGGUGGAGCUCUCCUUU
rnacentral:misc_RNA from 1 species